rnacentral:sRNA from 1 species
UUUCGUGGACGCCGGGUGAGCGAUAGCGUUGGUUGGUGUUGGGCUGGAGGAAAGCGGGAAGACUCAUCAGAGCGUGUGGAUUUGAGCCGCCGCAUUUUUUAACCCUAGAUCUCGAAAUGCAUCGUGAUUCCUGUCCAUUGGACUGUAAGGUUUAUGUAGGCAAUCUUGGAAACAAUGGCAACAAGACCGAAUUGGAACGGGCUUUUGGCUACUAUGGACCACUCCGAAGUGUGUGGGUUGCUAGAAACCCACCCGGCUUUGCUUUUGUUGAAUUUGAAGAUCCCCGAGAUGCAGCUGAUGCAGUCCGAGAGCUAGAUGGAAGAACACUAUGUGGCUGCCGUGUAAGAGUGGAACUGUCGAAUGGUGAGAAAAGAAGUAGAAAUCGUGGCCCACCUCCCUCUUGGGGUCGUCGCCCUCGAGAUGAUUAUCGUAGGAGGAGUCCUCCACCUCGUCGCAGAGUCACCAUCAUGUCUCUUCUCACCACCCUCUGAAUCUGCAUUAGCCAGUCAACUAGCCCUUUCAGCGUCAUGUGACCAGCGCGCCCCAUUCAGCUUGGCUGGUGUCGUUUCACAUGACCCAGGCUGGCCAGUCGUCAGGUUGCACCGCCCUUUGGUUCCCGAGCAUGCUGUUUUCUCUCAGCCUUCUCUCCAACCUUAACCAAAUCGGCAGCAGCCACCUCGACCGCCCACACAUUCCUGGCCAAUCAGCUCAGCUGUUUAUUUACCAAAUGUCUUCACAACAACUACAGCAGCAGCCUUCGGCUAACAAAAAAGCAGGAAAAAUCCACAACACCCCCUUCGCCAACCAACUAAAUCCAACGCAACAUCUGGCAAAACCUUUUCAGCAAAUUCUUCCUGGCCGUCAGUCCGGCAGCCUCACCUCACCAUUUCUAGCUUGUUGAAACCCAAAACUAGUAAGUUUUUCCUGCUUAUACAGUUUACUGCUGGUUAAAAUAAGGAGUAAGCGGCUUAAAGUAAUUCUUUUUUCUGGAUCAAAGGCUGGCUGUGCAUAAUUGAAUGGUAACGUACAUAUAUAUUGCUUGAAAAACUUUUAAGGGUGAUAGGGAACUCGUAAUGUAACUAGGCCUUCAAGUGAAACUUAUUUGCAUGUGCGAGAUGCCAAACUAAAAAUUUUAAUAUCUCUAACAGAUUAGCUUUUCUGGCAAAAAUUUGUUGAAUCCUAUCACCUUUAAAUGGUUUUACUAACAGUUUCAAAAUUUAAAAUUUUGGGGUUGAAGUGUGGGCCAAGCUAAGGUAAUUUUGGUAAGCCUAAACACACUCUUAAAUGUGACGAUCACAAAUGCAGUUCUAAUGUAGCACUUAAUGGCAUCAAUAUUUACACCUACCGCGUUUUCACAAAAUUACACUAUCCACCUGGUACCUAAGUCUUGUCAUGGACUUACAGGUUUGCAUGGGUUCCAAAUACUGGUUUAUGGUACUGUUUUUGGAACUACUUGUGGGACUAUAUUUUGGUGUGGUGUUUGGGUAGUGAAGUUAGUUUGACAUGAAGUUUUGCAUU